rnacentral:piRNA from 1 species
UACUAACUGCCUGACUAGACACUC